rnacentral:rRNA from 1 species
CCUACGGGUGGCAGCAGUGAGGAAUAUUGGUCAAUGGACGCAAGUCUGAACCAGCCAUGCCGCGUGCAGGAAGACGGCUCUAUGGGUUGUAAACUGCUUUUAUACGAGAAUAAAGGCAGCUACGCGUGUAUAUCUGCAUGUAUCGUACGAAUAAGGAUCGGCUAACUCCGUGCCAGCAGCCGCGGUAAUACGGAGGAUUCAAGCGUUAUCCGGAUUUAUUGGGUUUAAAGGGUGCGUAGGCGGUCGUAUAAGUUAGCGGUGAAAUCCCGAGGCUCAACUUCGGAAUUGCCUGUGAUACUGGUCGGCUAGAGAGUAGUUGCGGUAGGCGGAAUGCGUGGUGUAGCGGUGAAAUGCAUAGAGAUCAUACAGAACACCGAUUGCGAAGGCAGCUUACCAAGCUAUUUCUGACGCUGAGGCACGAAAGCGUGGGGAGCAAACAGGAUUAGAUACCCGUGUAGUC